UUGCAAAUUUAACUCUAAAAUGAGAAGUGUAUGACGAUCUAUAACGAAUAUAUACAUCCAUCAUGUGUGCAGAUACGGCGGAUAUAUAGGGUCUGUCAUGAGUGCACUUUGUAUGCCCUGCAUGUGUGCACCCAGGAGGUCCUCCAGAGCGGUGUUUAGACGUACCGGGAAAAUCUUAUCUGAUUCAGGAUCAAUUCAUCGGUUACACUCCCCUGUCACCAGUAAUUCUUUUUUGCUGACAUUCUGAAAAAGUAUUGUGUCCCUGUGUAAGUGUUGACUCUCAACUUGCACAUGUGAUUUUUUAACACUCCCCGGACUUCUGCAAAAAACAAUUAUUCAGUUCACUGAUUAAGAUGGAAGGGCAAGAACAUGAAAGCUAAAGGGGAAACUAUAAGCAGAAGAAAUUAUCAACAAAAUAAGAUUUACAGAGGUCAACAAAGCCUAAAUGGUCAGACAUCUCAAUUUUCAUGGUCAUCAUUCACAGAUCAAUACUGAACGGAAAACUUAAAGCUGAUAUUUUUCUCCAUGGUGCGACUUUUUUAUGAAUUUGAAAUGGAACAUGUUUUUUCCUACAUUAUUUGAAAGAGGAAAUUUCAACAUGAUGACUAUAAACAAAAAGGAGUCAUAUCAUCACGAUCAUUGAUGCACAAGAACUUGAUCAUAUAAAUACAACAAUGUAAUUAUCAAUUGAAAGAUGGAACGAAUGAACAAGAUAUUAGAAUGUUGUUGUCCAAAUAAACUUGCUUUGUCUUCUCAUUUGAAUCUCUCCAUUCAAUAAAGAUGUACAGAGGAAGAUCUUUGAAGAACAGAUUGAAAAAUAUUUUGUCUAAGAAUUGCAGGAAUAUUCUAGUGAAUGAAAUUAUUAAUUGACUUCACUCUUAUAUAGUGGACUGAAUAAUUGUACAUAGCAAGCUGUGAAUAAAGAAAGCAAAAACUUUAACAAAAAGUGUUUAUAUUAUAAAUUUGCAAAUAUAAGCAUACUAUUAUGUACACCACAAAGGUAUAUAUAAUUCAAAUUGUUUGCCUAUACAAGUAUUGCAAUGAACCUAUAACAAAGAAAAUCUUACCUCAUGAAAAGAGUGAACUAUUCAGUCAGAAUAUGAAAUAUUUUUUCAGUUCUAUUUUUCAUAAUAGAAUAAACAAGACAAAGAUUUCAA